rnacentral:rRNA from 1 species
UACGGGGGUGGCAAGCGUUGUUCGGAAUUACUGGGCGUAAAGGGCGCGUAGGCGGGGAGGUAAGUCGGGUGCGAAAUCCCUCGGCUCAACCGAGGAACUGCGCCCGAGACUGCCUAUCUUGAGUCCCGGAGAGGAAGGUGGAAUUCCCGGUGUAGCGGUGAAAUGUGUAGAGAUCGGGAGGAACACCGGUGGCGAAGGCGGCCUUCUGGACGGUGACUGACGCUGAGGCGCGAAAGCGUGGGGAGCAAACGGG